AGAGAAAAGGGCUUAGAUAGGUGAAGAGAGAUAAAAAGUUGGACAGAGAAUGGGGAGUCCAGGAUCUGGUGCGGUUGAUUAUGCUGUGGGAUCGAUCGUGUGGGUCCGAAGGAGGAAUGGUUCAUGGUGGCCCGGUAAAAUCCUGGGUUCUGAUGAGCUUUCAUCUUCGCACCUUACAUCACCUCGAUCUGGAACUCCAGUCAAGCUCCUUGGAAGAGAAGAUGCCAGUGUGGAUUGGUACAAUUUAGAGAAGUCCAAGCGAGUAAAACCAUUCAGAU
rnacentral:misc_RNA from 1 species